rnacentral:rRNA from 1 species
UACGUAGGGUGCGAGCGUUGUCCGGAUUUAUUGGGCGUAAAGGGCUCGUAGGCGGUUUGUCGCGUCGGGAGUGAAAACCCAGGGCUUAACUCUGGGCUUGCUUUCGAUACGGGCAGACUAGAGGUAUGCAGGGGAGAACGGAAUUCCUGGUGUAGCGGUGAAAUGCGCAGAUAUCAGGAGGAACACCGGUGGCGAAGGCGGUUCUCUGGGCAUUACCUGACGCUGAGGAGCGAAAGUGUGGGGAGCGAACAGG